UUGGAGUCAGUUCCUGACUCCAACAAGAGAAAGAAGAAAACUGUGUUCUCUUUCCAAGCAAAUGAUCCCUAGAAGUGACUUCUUUGAGGACCCUGUUUUCCAAUUAGAACAGCUCUUAGAGCCCUCAGAUGGGCUUUGGUACCUGGUGCAUGUACCAUCGAAAGAAAGAAAACAAGGGUUAUGAGGAGCCUUGAUUAAAUGUAAGUGAGCACUCUACCAUUCCAGUACAACAAAUGGAAGUCGGACAUCAUGCUUUGUACCUGCAAGUAAUCCCAGCACUCCGGAGGUAGCAGCAGGAGACUUGCCCCAAGUUCUAGGCCAGGCUUGUCUACAUAGUUCGAGGUCAGCCAGCACUACACAGCAAGACCCUGUCUCAAACAACAAAAGAAAAUGGAGAUGCUCUGGCUUAUGCUUGUGUUAGAAGAGUUCAGUUAGAUAGAGAUUCACCCAAAUCCCCUAAUACAAAAUUUUAAAAAAUGGGGAACUCAGAGAGAGUGUAUGUUAAACUAAAAAAAAAAAAAAGUAGUUUAUCUUUCAUUUCCUUUUCAAGGCAUGAGGGGAUGUAAGGAAGAUUGUAUCACACUUUGCUGUCAAUGGUCACGAGCCAUAGCUCAGAGUGAGUAUAUGUUCCAGGGACCACCUCAUGCCCUUCAGGCUGCAUGGUUCCAGCCAGGACAGGAAAGGGCAGUUAGCCUUCACAAACCCAAGUGGAAGACUAUGCGUAAGUAUCUAUGUCAGUCACUUUCCUUGUUUCUUCCAUGAGACACUUAGCAACAGUACUUAAGGAAGGAAAGGUCUGCACUGGCCCACAGUCUGAAGGAGGACAGAGUACACAAGGCAAUGAGAGCAGCUCUAGGUGUGGCCACGGGUGGCCGAUGUAGCUGGACGCGCUGCGUCUGAAGCAUGACUUCAGGAUUUGUGGUCAGAGGCAUGAGGUGGAGAAGUUCUGAUACAGUCUUUGUACUGUACAGUUGCCGUCUGGACUUCAUUGACUGUACUCGAGCCAUCCAGCACAAGUGACAAGUGAAGGUGUUUCAGAAGCACGAUUACAACUCUUGGGGUAAAGAUCAUCAACGACAAGGCCCAGGAAAGCAGGUUCAGAGGUCGUCUUAAGGUAUGAAACAUAAAAUCAGCAUGUCAGAGGUUGGCCUGGGCCCUUCCCACCCUCACUGUGAUCUUCAGUUUUGCUACGUGCACUCAAGGCACAAACCUGGGAUUUGAGAUUUAAAGCCAUGGCUGUAAACUUCUUUUCAGAGAUUCCUAGCAGGACCCAGAGGAGAGGUAGGGGAGUAGUCCCGGCAGCUGUUGGAUGACGCAG